rfam:Gossypium arboreum cultivar AKA8401 contig_34676_5, whole genome shotgun sequence.
AAGUCAUGGUGUGGGUAUUUUUGAAUCAACAUUUUAAAAUGCUCCCAUGCUUUAUGAAAAAUUUUCCCUUAUAACUUCUUAAACACCGAAAUUUCCCUUCUUAGUUG